rnacentral:rRNA from 1 species
UACGGAAGGCAGCAGUGGGGAAUAUUGCACAAUGGGCGCAAGCCUGAUGCAGCCAUGCCGCGUGUAUGAAGAAGGCCUUCGGGUUGUAAAGUACUUUCAGUCGUGAGGAAGGUGUUAAGGUUAAUAACCUUAGCAAUUGACGUUAGCGACAGAAGAAGCACCGGCUAACUCCGUGCCAGCAGCCGCGGUAAUACGGAGGGUGCGAGCGUUAAUCGGAAUUACUGGGCGUAAAGGGCACGCAGGCGGUUAAUUAAGUUGGAUGUGAAAUCCCCGGGCUUAACCUGGGAAUGGCAUUCAAGACUGGUUAGCUAGAGUCUUGUAGAGGGGGUAGAAUUCCAUGUGUAGCGGUGAAAUGCGUAGAGAUGUGGAGGAAUACCGGUGGCGAAGGCGGCCCCUGGGACAAAGGACUGACGCUCAUGUGCGAAAGCGUGGGGAGCGAAACAGGGA